rnacentral:rRNA from 1 species
AUUGAACGCUGGCGGCAGGCCUAACACAUGCAAGUCGAGCGAGCGGCGGAUGGGUGAGUAAUGUCUGGGAAACUGCCUGAUGGAGGGGGAUAACUGCUGGAGGCGGUAGCUAAUACCGCAUACAAUCAGAAGUGGCCCGGUUGGAUUAGCUAGUAGGGGGGGUAACGGCCCACCUAGGGGACGAUCCCUAGCUGGUCUGAGAGGAUGACCAGCCACACUGGAACUGGGACACGGUCCAGACUCCUACGGGAGGCAGCAGUGGGGAAUAUUGGACAAUGGGCGAAAGCCUGAUGCAGCCAUGCCGCGUGUGUGAAGAAGGCCUUCGGAUUGUAAAGCACUUUCAGCUGGGAGGCGUUACCAGCAGAAUAAGCACCGGCUAACUCCGUGCCAGCCGCCGCGGUAAUAC